GUCUUUUUGUGAAUUAUUUAAGGUUUGGCCUGCUCAAUGAGUGUUUAAAUAGCCGCAGUAUUUUGACUGUGCAAAGGUAGCAUAAUCAUUAGUUUUUUAAUUGAAAGCUGGAAUGAAGGGUCGGAUGAGAAAGCUUCUGUCUCACUUUAAUUUUAAUUGAAUUUUAUUUUUAAGUUAAAAAGCUUAGAUUUUAUAAAAAGACGAGAAGACCCUAUAGAGUUUAAUAGAUUUAAAUAUAGACUAUUUUAGGGUUUUAUAUUAGUUUAUUUUUAAUUUAUUUUGUUGGGGUGAUAUAAGAAUUGAGUUAACUUCUUUAUAUUUAAACACUGAUUUGUGAGAAAUGGAUCCUUAAAUUGGGAUUAAAAGAAUAAAUUACCUUAGGGAUAACAGCGUAAUUCUUUUGGAGAGUUCUAAUCGAUAAAAGGGAUUGCGACCUCGAUGUUGGAUUAAAGUUUAAUUUUGGUGUAGAAGCUAGGAUUUUAAGUCUGUUCGACUUUUAAAACUUU
rnacentral:rRNA from 1 species